rnacentral:rRNA from 1 species
AUUGAACGCUGGCGGCAGGCUUAACACAUGCAAGUCGAGCGAGCGGCGGACGGGUGAGUAAUGUCUGGGAAACUGCCCGAUGGAGGGGGAUAACUACUGGAAACGGUAGCUAAUACCGCAUACCAUCAGAUGUGCCCAGAUGGGAUUAGCUAGUAGGGGGGGUAAAGGCUCACCUAGGCGACGAUCCCUCGCUGGUCUGAGAGGAUGACCAGCCACACUGGGACUGAGACACGGUCCAGACUCCUACGGGAGGCAGCAGGGGGGAAUAUUGCACAAUGGGCGCAAGCCUGAUGCAGCCAUGCCGCGUGUGUGAAGAAGGCCUUCGGGUUGUAAAGCACUUUCAGCGAGGAGGCGUUACCCGCAGAAGAAGCACCGGCUAACUCCGUGCCAGCAGCCGCGGUAAUAC